UACGCAGGGGGCAAGCGUUGUCCGGAAUCAUUGGGCGUAAAGAGCGUGUAGGCGGCCCGGUAAGUCCGCUGUGAAAGUCCAGGGCUCAACCCUGGGAUGCCGGUGGAUACUGUCGGGCUCGAGUCCGGAAGAGGAGUGUGGAAUUCCUGGUGUAGCGGUGAAAUGCGCAGAUAUCAGGAGGAACACCAAUGGCGAAGGCAGCACUCUGGGACGGUACUGACGCUGAGGCGCGAAAGCGUGGGGAGCGAACAGG
rnacentral:rRNA from 1 species